rnacentral:rRNA from 1 species
UGGGAAUCUGCCCUUGGGUUCGGGAUAACAGUUGGAAACGACUGCUAAUACCGGAUGAUGACUUCGGUCCAAAGAUUUAUUGCCCAGGGAUGAGCCCGCGUAGGAUUAGCUAGUUGGUGAGGUAAAGGCUCACCAAGGCGACGAUCCUUAGCUGGUCUGAGAGGAUGAUCAGCCAUACUGGGACUGAGACACGGCCCAGACUCCGUACGGGAGGCAG